CACUUUGGACGGAGACCUAGCCUAACGAAACAGAAGAAAGAUCGGGAACCAGUCAUAGCUCUCAAUCUCACUCCGAAUCUCGUUCUCCUUCGCACUCUCGCUCUCAAUCUCACUGGCGCUCUCAAUCUCACUCCGAAUCUCGUUCUCCUUCGCACUCUCGCUCUCAACCUCACAUGUGCUCCUCCGCUCUUUGAAUCUCUCUCUUGUUUCAACAAAUUCUAGGGUUGGAUUUGUUAUUCUCUGUUUUGAGAAACAAUUGAAGGGGGGUCGAUAUUUUCCUCUCACAGCUGUUCAGAGUUUUGAUGCUGCUGGAUUCAAGAGUGUUUCUCAAAGCUUUCGCAUCGACAGCGAGGAGCUCUUCAAACGCUGGCUAACUAAUAGAAAGGC